rnacentral:rRNA from 1 species
GGAUGAGCCCGCGGCCUAUCAGCUUGUUGGUGGGGUAAUGGCCUACCAAGGCGGCGACGGGUAGCCGGCCUGAGAGGGUGUACGGCCACAUUGGGACUGAGAUACGGCCCAGACUCCUACGGGAGGCAGCAGUGGGGAAUAUUGCACAAUGGGCGCAAGCCUGAUGCAGCGACGCCGCGUGGGGGAUGAAGGCCUUCGGGUUGUAAACUCCUUUCGCUAGGGACGAAGCUUUGUUGUGACGGUACCUAGAUAAGAAGCACCGGCUAACUACGUGCCAGCAGCCGCGGUAAUACGUAGGGUGCGAGCGUUGUCCGGAAUUACUGGGCGUAAAGGGCUCGUAGGUGGUUUGUCGCGUCGUCUGUGAACUUCUGGGGCUUAGCUCCGGGC